GGAGAGACUAGGCUCACCUGUGGCCUAGUUAAUUCACCUGCCAGGUGGAGAAAAUGAGCAGUGAAUGGCACUCACUCAGGUUUCUAGAGUAUUCAGACAAAAGGCUGUGAAGGAGGAAGAAGAGAGCUUCCAGAUUUCUACUGAAUACAGUGGAGAAGUCUCAUGUAUCACGUGUUGUAUGAUGCAAGUCUGAUUGCAAAAAAAGAAUAACAUACUAGAUGAUAAAGAACAGAAGGCAGAGAGAGGAGAGAGAUUCCAUUUCAGGCUAUAAAUGGGAUAGAAAAUGAAUCACAACAGGGUGAAGUGACUUAUGCAAGAUUAUCCAGUUAUAAACUGAACACAAGUUUUCUCAGUGCCUGUCUAAUGCUCUACCCACUAACCCAGAGCAGGAGGCGAGCAGUCAGGAAACAGCUGCCCUCUGCAUGGCUUCUGCACCAGAUAGAGAGCAUAUUCUUUCUAUAAAGAAUGAGUCGGCAUCUGGGAAUCGGGGAGAGGCCCCUUGGGAUGGAGAGCCAAAUCUGCACAAGAGGGGAGCAGUAGCGAAAUGAAAUGAAGAGAUGGGAGGCAACCCUGUGGGCUCAUGAGCCGGCACAAGGAAUGGAGCUGUGGUGAUGAACUCAAUGUGGUGAGUAUCACACGUGGUUGGUAUUUAGUUUUGGAUUCCUCCUGCCCACUGCAGAGUGCUGGCAAAAGUCGAGGAUUUGGCUGCUUGAGAAGACAAAUCAGGUUGAGGGGAGCCCAGAAGUGGCAGAAGAAAACAAGCACAUGAAAACUUUGGUGUGAUGGUGCUGAACACAGAGACACUCCAGGAACUUCAGGAACUGACAGUGUUAAAAACCAGAUAAAAGUAAGGGUGUAAGCAAAGACUGGGAUGAUCAAAAAGAAGAGGAAGAGGAAAUGGAGGAACUUAUAGGACAGCAACUACUUGCAAAGGGGUGCCUUGUUGAGGGCCUUUAUCUUUUACGAUGUGCUUAAAUAUUUUGCUGAAUGGGAAUUUCAGUGUGGCUAUAAGACCCAAUAUUUGGCCUUCUAGAUUGGACAGUACACUCAUGUUUAAUAUCACCGAUGGGUCCCUGACACAUUAGCACUACAUCUUUUUUGCUUCCAUUAUCCAUUUGCAAAACCAGGAACUUUUAAUUAUAUCAGAAUUUUCCUUAUGUGACCCAAACAACAUUGGUAUUUUAUCAUAUACAAUGAGCUGAAGAUUUAAUUAGGUUUAAGACAUUAUCCUCAGCAGUAGCACUUGAACGUGCUAAUUAUCAUCACUUAAUACUAUUGUCUUAGUGUCUUUCUUUUAUUAGUCUUCACUCUCUCCCUUCAAAGAGUUUCCACGAAGUACAUCCCUCACUCUGUUUGAAGCCAUGUUCAAUGAAUGCGAUUCCUUACGCACCAUUGGAAAUUGUCAAGAAAAAUAAUUGCUGAAAGCAGACUUGACUUGCCAGACUACUGAAGGAAAUCCAUCCAUUAAAAAGAGAAGACAGGAAAGCAGGAAAAGAACAGAACAAAUGCAAGCAGGGGCUCAGGACAACAGUACAUUUUAAAAAAAGAUGUAUCCAAGUGUUGCAGCUGUGGCAUUUGUUGCCCGGUGAGAUGGAAAAUACUUUAACUAGUAGCACAGAGUUUGCACCCUCAUGUACUUCGAGAAAAGUUCCAGAUCCAGGCUCAUCACUAUCCUUUUUUUCGAUGGGCAUUAUAUGAAUGGCCACCAGAGGGAAGUAAAGUGGUUGAAUUCAAUCAUAGCGUAGUAUUAUGACCAACAGCUGGAGAGCUGCUAUUAGUCAAUGCACUGCUUCAAAGAGGUGCAUGAUUGACCACUCACCAUUGUGUAAGAUGAACUAAAAGAGUCCUUUGAAAGAAAUAUCUUUCAGCUCCUGUUUCAUAUCAUAGGUAAAAAACAUUAAAAAAAAAAAAAAGGAGACACACGACAAAUAUACAGAGGCGCUGAUCAUUGCUAAUAGAAAGACCAAUGUUGCAAGCAUAACCAAGAAGCUUGUAUCACAUUAGCUUGAAAUAAAUUGUGGCUUGGCUAAACAGAGGGAAGGAACGUUUAUAAACAGAAUGAAACGCUGAUGAAGGGCCAUGAAAUAGAAUGGCUCGUUGUUUAUAUCGUUUAUGCAGACAGGAAGUUUGCUUUAGUGCAGUCAGCAUGCUCCUCCUAAUGUAUGGCUUUGCAAACUGCUUUGGAAUAUUGUGCUACAGAGACGAACCCUGUGGAUGUGCACGGCAUCGUGAGCUGCUGGAGAAGAGCCCAGGUUAGUUAUGCCUAACAGGAAUGUACUCCAAAAUGAAACAUAUUGACAAAUAUUCAUGUCAGAAAUCUGUUAGCAAGAAUACCGGCAGGUGGAAUGAAAAAAUCCAAAUUGAAUUCAAAGGUUGCUGAGGUACCAUCACUUAGGAAGUGUAAAACAGCUCAAACUGACACGGGAGAGGAGCAGCUGUAUGUGCCUAGAUUAGUUUGCCAACCCUAUGCAUAGUUUGUGCUUCCAGUUCCCUAACAAAUGGAAGUUUAAGAGCUGGCAGGCUGAAAAUCCAGCUAGUUAAGGCUUCCAAGUUUCACGCAGCUCCUUGAAUAUGUGUUUGGAGCUUGGCUGAACAGCUUUUGUAACAAACUGUGGGUACACUAUGGUUCAGUGUUUCCUGAGGUCUCAGGCACAUCAGAGGAUUUUGGCAGCUUUACUCAGCAGGGAGGCCACAUCACGGAUUAUGGGCCUGAUCCAGCUGCCACCUGAGUCAACAGGAAGACUUCCAGUGACAUCAACAGUUUUGUAAUAAGCCAGGCAUUUGCUUAUUCUUGCAAGGAACCAAAAUAAAUAAAAUCACCUUUAAAAUCUAAGCUAACGAAGCCACUCUCUGCAACAUCCAUUCACAGACACUUGUGGUUCUCCGGUUCUCAGACAGUGCAUGAUACCUGGGAUCUCAGCAAAUUGGUCUCCGCUGUGUCAAAUCCUGCGAGGAACUCCAGCCCUUGACAGAGAAACAUUGAUUCCCUCUUCUCCUUCAAAGCUUCUCUUCAAACUUUUAUUCCUCCAUUAUGGGAAAGGUAAGUCUGAUGAGGACUAAUGGAAACAUCUGCUUUCCGCAUUUUGUGGUCAUACUAAGCCUUUCUCAUGGCGCUUGGAAGUGGAAGGUGCCCCUUUAUUCCACCACUCCGUCCAUGAGAAACGUUGCCGCAUCUACAUACAAAUAAGGUUUCUGACACAUGUUUGAAAGGGGCUAGACCAGGGGUGGGCAAAAUGCAGCCCGCGGGCAGGGUGCGGCCUGCCAGGCCAUUCUGUUCAGCCUGUGGGGCCCUUAAAAAUUUUAGAAAAUUAAUAUUUAUCUGCCCUGGGCUGCCUGUCAUGCAGCCUUCGAUGACUUGCCAAAACUCAGUGAGCGGCCCUCCGCCCCAAAUAACUGCCCGCCCCUGGGCUAGAACAAGAGCUGUUUCAGUGUUUGUGGCAAAGUGCUGACAAUAUCUACGCUACCAGUAAGGGCAUUUGUAUAGUAAUCUCUGUCAUAAA